rnacentral:rRNA from 1 species
AUUGAACGCUGGCGGCAGGCCUAACACAUGCAAGUCGAGCGGAGCGGCGGACGGGUGAGUAAUGCUUAGGAAUCUGCCUAUUAAUGGGGGACAACAUCCGGAAAGGGCUGCUAAUAACGCAUACUAACAGAUGAGCCUAGGUCGGAUUAGCUAGUUGGUGGGGUAAAGGCCUACCAAGGCGACGAUCUGUAGCGGGUCUGGGAGGGUGAUCCGCCACACUGGGACUGGGACACGGCCCAGACUCCUACGGGAGGCAGCAGUGGGGAAUAUUGGGCAAUGGGGGGAACCCUGAUCCAGACAUGCCGCGUGUGUGAAGAAGGCCUUAUGGUUGUAAAGCACUUUAAGCGAGGAGGCGUUACUCACAGAAUAAGCACCGGCUAACUCUGUGCCAGCCGCCGCGGUAAUAC